rnacentral:rRNA from 1 species
GACGAACGCUGGCGGCGUGCCUAAUACAUGCAAGUAGAACGCACAGUUUAUACCGUAGCUUGCUACACCAUAAACUGUGAGUUGCGAACGGGUGAGUAACGCGUAGGUAACCUGCCUGGUAGCGGGGGAUAACUAUUGGAAACGAUAGCUAAUACCUCAUAAUAUUGAUUAUUGCAUGAUAAUUGAUUGAAUGAUGCUAUUGUAUCACUACCAGAUGGACCUGCGUUGUAUUAGCUAGUAGGUGAGGUAACGGCUCACCUAAGCGAAGAGUCCUAUCCGGCCUGGGAGGGUGGUCCGCCCACCUGGGAAUGGAGCCAGGCCCCAGCUCCCACGGGAAGGCGCAGUAGGGGAUCUUCGGGAAUGGGCCGAAGUCUGACCGGGCAACGGCGCGUGAGGGGAGGAAGUUUUCGGGUCGUAAAGCUCUGUUGUAAGGGGAGAACGAGUGUGAGAGUGAAAAGUUCACGUUGUGACGGUAUCUUACCAGAAAGAGACGGCUAACUACGUG